rnacentral:rRNA from 1 species
ACGACGCUGGCGGCGUGCCUAAUACAUGCAAGUCGAACGGUCUUUCUAUGGAAGCUUGCUUCCGCUGAGAAGAUAGUGGCGAACGGGUGAGUAACACGUGGGUAACCUGCCCAUAAGAGGGGGAUAACAUCCGGAAACGGGUGCUAAUACCGCAUAGUUUUCUUGAUCGCAUGAUCGGGAAAGGAAAGACGGCCUUUGUGCUGUCGCUUAUGGAUGGACCCGCGGCGUAUUAGUUAGUUGGUGAGGUAACGGCUCACCAAGACGAUGAUACGUAGCCGACCUGAGAGGGUGAUCGGCCACAUUGGGACUGAGACACGGCCCAAACUCCUACGGGAGGCAGCAGUAGGGAAUCUUCCGCAAUGGACGAAAGUCUGACGGAGCAACGCCGCGUGAGUGAAGAAGGUUUUCGGAUCGUAAAACUCUGUUGUCAGAGAAGAACAAGUUGGAGAGUAACUGCUCCAGCCUUGACGGUAUCUGACCAGAAAGCCACGGCUAACUACGUG